rnacentral:rRNA from 1 species
UACGGAGGGUGCAAGCGUUGUUCGGAAUCAUUGGGCGUAAAGCGCGCGCAGGCGGGCCAUUAAGUCUGAUGUGAAAUCCCUCGGCUCAACCGGGGAAUUGCAUUGGAUACUGGUGGUCUUGAGUCCCGGAGAGGAAGGCGGAAUUCCCAGUGUAGAGGUGAAAUUCGUAGAUAUUGGGAGGAACACCAGCGGCGAAGGCGGCCUUCUGGACGGUGACUGACGCUGAGGCGCGAAAGCAUGGGUAGCAAACAGG